GGGUUGUGAGGUUAAGCGACUAAGCGUACACGGUGGAUGCCCUGGCAGUCAGAGGCGAUGAAGGGCGUGCUAAUCUGCGAUAAGCGCCGGUAAGGUGAUAUGAACCGUUAUAACCGGCGAUACCCGAAUGGGGAAACCCAGUGUGACUCGUCACACUAUCAUUAACUGAAUCCAUAGGUUAAUGAGGCGAACCGGGGGAACUGAAACAUCUAAGUACCCCGAGGAAAAGAAAUCAACCGAGAUUCCCCCAGUAGCGGCGAGCGAACGGGGAGGAGCCCAGAGCCUGAAUCAGCAUGUGUGUUAGUGGAAGCGUCUGGAAAGGCGCGCGAUACAGGGUGACAGCCCCGUACACAAAAGCGUAUGUGCUGUGAGCUCGAUGAGUAGGGCGGGACACGUGGUAUCCUGUCUGAAUAUGGGGGGACCAUCCUCCAAGGCUAAAUACUCCUGACUGACCGAUAGUGAACCAGUACCGUGAGGGAAAGGCGAAAAGAACCCCGGCGAGGGGAGUGAAAAAGAACCUGAAACCGUGUACGUACAAGCAGUGGGAGCCCCACCACUAAGCCAGUGGUGAACUCCACAUACGCAUCCUUUGCUGAGGAUACGGUUAACGGAGCGAAAGCGACGUUCAACCGCAAAAGAAGCAGAGGGGGCUUAGUGGUGGGGUGACUGCGUACCUUUUGUAUAAUGGGUCAGCGACUUAUAUUCUGUAGCAAGGUUAACCGAAUAGGGGAGCCGGAGGGAAACCGAGUCUUAACCGGGCGUUAAGUUGCAGGGUAU
rnacentral:rRNA from 1 species